rnacentral:lncRNA from 1 species
GUAUUUCAGGACAGCCAGGAGGGGGCGCACAUCCGCCGAGAAACUGUGAGCAAGAGCGUCUGUGCUGAACCAUGGCUCCACCAGAGGGCGCGCGAUCCCGCCCCAACCAACUUCCCGCUGAGGUGCCAGAAGCAGCGAGGAGCUUCAACUUCCUCAGGGCAGCACGAGGGUCAUGUUAAUUUGGUGUUCUUCAUUGAUGAUGAUUAUUCCCCACCUUCUAAGAGACAAAGACCAACGAGCCACCACAGCCACCAGUCCCAGAACCCGCCAAUGCUGGGGAACGGAAAAUGAGGGAGUUCAACUCUGGCCCUCACAAUCCAGUGGAGGAGACGAAACUCAUCUGCCUCUGUCCCUCUGGGCACGCCUCAUGCCAGGUGCAUCUGUGGACAGGGGCCAUGCUCCUGGGCUUCCAAAGUUGGAGAAAGCUGCCAGGCUCAGGUCUGAAGGCCAGAAUUCUACAGUAAGUCCUACUGAGUCAAGGUGGGAGCAGGGUCGGUGGCUUCCGAGGCUCUGCAGGAGAAUCCGUUUCCUGGCCGUAGAGGUGGCCUGCACUCCUCAGCUUGUGCUGCCCGUCUCGAAUGACUGGAGUUUCCUGCUUCUGUCACUACACCUCCCACCCUCUCCAUCACCUGCUCUGCUCUUACAAGGAUCCGAAGAAAUGGAAUCAUCGUAUCGCUGAUCUACGUAAACAAAUUGAAGAAUUGUCUGAAAGAAAAUAUGACAUGAACUUAUGAAUUCAACAGGUGAAGAUUUACAACUUGAUAAAUCAGCUUUGUGAGCUCGAGCUGUAAAAGCCAAAGGUCCAGUGAUGAUCCCAUACCCUUUUUUCCAGUCUCAUGUUGAAGAUUUUUAUGUAGAAGGCCUUCCCAAAGGAAUUUUUUUUUUUUUUUUUGAGAUGGAGUUUUCACUCUUAUCGCCCAGGCUGGGGUGCAAUGGCGCAACCUUGCUGGUCACUGCAACCUCUGCCUCCUGGGUUCAAGAAAUUCUCCUGCCUUAGCCUCCCAAGUCGCUGGGAUUACAGGUGCCCACCACCACACCAGGCUAAUUUUUGUAUUUUUAGUGGAGAUGGGGUUUCACCAUGUUGGCCGGGCCAGUCUCGAAUUCCUGACGUCAAGUGAUCUUCCCGCCUCGACUCCUGACAUCAAGUGAUCUUCCCGCCUCGGCCUCCCAGAGUGCUGAGAUUACAGACGUGAACCCAUGCCUGGCCAGGAAUUUUGUUUUUUAGGAAGGCUUUCUACUAAUGGAAUUCCUGGCCUUGAGAGGAUGUUACUUUCGAAGGAAAGGAUUUUUUUGUUAUUAAAAGCUGGACCUACCAUGAAAGACUUCUGAAUCCAGGAAGAGAAACUGACUGGGCAACAUGUUAUUCAG